rnacentral:tRNA from 1 species
AAAAAUAUAGUUUAAUAAAAACAUUUAAUUUGCACUUAAAAGAUAUUAUAUUUUUG